UGACCUGCCCCUUGGGUUUUAAAAGGCCGCGGUAUUAUGACCGUGCAAAGGUAGCAUAAUCAUUAGUCUUUUAAUUGAGGGCUAGAAUGAAUGGUUGGACAAGAAAUAAUCUGUCUUAAAUUAAAAUAUUGAAUUUAACUUUUAAGUGAAAAGGCUUAAAUUAUCUAGAGUGACGAUAAGACCCUAUAAAACUUUAUAUUUAAAAAUAAUAGUUAGUUUUAUUUAAAAAUUUUAUUUAAAAAUAUUUUAUUGGGGUGAUAAAGAUAUAAAUUCAAAUAACUGUCUUUUUUUUUAUUACAAUAAUAUUUGAAUUAAUGAUCCUAGAAAAGGAGUAAAAGAUUAAGUUACUUUAGGGAUAACAGCGUAAUUUUUUUUAAGAGUUCAUAUCGACAAGAAAGUUUGCGACCUCGAUGUUGAAUUAAAAGAUCUUUAUAGAGCA
rnacentral:rRNA from 1 species